rnacentral:rRNA from 1 species
GUGAGGAAUAUUGGUCAAUGGGCGGGAGCCUGAACCAGCCAAGUCGCGUGAAGGAAGAAGGAUCUAUGGUUCGUAAACUUCUUUUGCAGGGGAAUAAAGUGCAGGACGUGUCCUGUUUUGUAUGUACCCUGAGAAUAAGGAUCGGCUAACUCCGUGCCAGCAGCCGCGGUAAUACGGAGGAUCCGAGCGUUAUCCGGAUUUAUUGGGUUUAAAGGGUGCGUAGGUGGUUUGAUAAGUCAGCGGUGAAAGUUUGCAGCUUAACUGUAAAAAUGCCGUUGAAACUGUCGGACUUGAGUGUAAAUGAGGUAGGCGGAAUGCGUGGUGUAGCGGUGAAAUGCAUAGAUAUCACGCAGAACUCCGAUUGCGAAGGCAGCUUACUAAGCUACAACUGACACUGAAGCACGAAAGCGUGGGGAUCAAACAGGAUUAGAUACCCUGGUAUCC